rnacentral:rRNA from 1 species
UACGUAGGUGGCAAGCGUUGUCCGGAAUUAUUGGGCGUAAAGCGCGCGCAGGUGGUUUCUUAAGUCUGAUGUGAAAGCCCACGGCUCAACCGUGGAGGGUCAUUGGAAACUGGGGAACUUGAGUGCAGGAGAGAAGAGUGGAAUUCCACGUGUAGCGGUGAAAUGCGUAGAGAUGUGGAGGAACACCAGUGGCGAAGGCGACUCUUUGGCCUGUAACUGACCACUGAGGCGCGAAAGCGUGGGGAGCAAACAGG